UACAGAGGUCUCAAGCGUUGUUCGGAUUCAUUGGGCGUAAAGGGUGCGUAGGUGGCGCCGUAAGUCGGGUGUGAAAUUUCGGAGCUUAACUCCGAAACUGCAUUCGAUACUGCGGUGCUUGAGGACUGGAGAGGAGACUGGAAUUCAUGGUGUAGCAGUGAAAUGCGUAGAGAUCAUGAGGAAGACCAGUGGCGAAGGCGGGUCUCUGGACAGUUCUGACACUGAGGCACGAAGGCCAGGGGAGCAAACGGG
rnacentral:rRNA from 1 species